rnacentral:rRNA from 1 species
UACGGCCAUACCACCCUGAACGUGCCCGAUCCUGUCUAAUCUCGGAAACUAAGCACUGUCGGGCCAGGUUAAUACCUGAAUGGGAGAUACCGUUU